CGCCGCACGGGAUAAUAGAUUAUCCCGUGCGGGCGGCUUAAGUGGACCGCACGGGAUAAUCGAUUAUCCCGUGCGGCC
rnacentral:pre_miRNA from 11 species